UACAGAGGGGGCGAGCGUUGUUCGGAAUUACUGGGCGUAAAGGGCGCGUAGGCGGCCUUCUAAGUCGAACGUGAAAUCCCCGGGCCUCAACCCGGGAACUGCGUCCGAUACUGGGAGGCUUGAAUCCGGGAGAGGGAUGUGGAAUUCCAGGUGAUAGCGGUGAAAUGCGUAGAGUAUCUGGAGGAACACCGGUGGCGAAGGCGGCAUCCUGGACCGGUAUUGACGCUGAGGCGCGAAAGCCAGGGGAGCAAAGCGGGG
rnacentral:rRNA from 1 species